rnacentral:misc_RNA from 1 species
GAUGAAGAACGUAGCGAAAUGCGAUAAGUAGUGUGAAUUGCAGAAUUCAGUGAAUCAUCGAAUCUUUGAACGCACAUUGCGCCCCUCGGUAUUCCGUGGGGCAUGCCUGUUCGAGCGUCAUUUAACCCCUCAAGCCUAGCUUGGUAUUGGGUGCUUGUCCCGCCUCUCGCGCGGCGACUCACCUCAAAGUCAUUGGCAGCCCGCAUCUCGCCGGCCGUGAGCGCAGCACAGACGCGCUCUUGGCAACGACGGAUCGGCUCUCCAAAAGCUUAUUUCAACCACUGACCUCGGAUCAGGUAGGGAUACCCGCUGAACUUAAGCAUAUCAAUAAGCGGAGCA